rnacentral:rRNA from 1 species
UAGAGUUUGAUCCUGGCUCAGGAUGAACGCUAGCUACAGGCUUAACACAUGCAAGUCGAGGGGAAACGAUUGCGGUGCUUGCACCGCAAGGCGUCGACCGGCGCACGGGUGAGUAACGCGUAUCCAACCUGGCCCCAAGUAAGGGAUAAUCCAUAGAAAUGUGGUCUAAUACCUUAUGUGGUCAGACGAUGACAUCAGACUUUGACUAAAGAUUCAUCGCUUGGGGAUGGGGAUGCGUCUGAUUAGGCAGUAGGCGGGGCAACGGCCCACCUAACCGACGAUCAGUAGGGGUUCUGAGAGGAAAGUCCCCCACAUUGGAACUGAGACACGGUCCAAACUCCUACGGGAGGCAGCAGUGAGGAAUAUUGGUCAAUGGGCGCGAGCCUGAACCAGCCAAGUAGCGUGCAGGACGACGGCCCUAUGGGUUGUAAACUGCUUUUGUGCGGGGAUAAAGUACGUGACGUGUCAUGUAUUGCAGGUACCGCACGAAUAAGGACCGGCUAAUUCCGUGCCAGCAGCCGCGGUAAUACGGAAGGUCCGGGCGUUAUCCGGAUUUAUUGGGUUUAAAGGGAGCGCAGGCCGCCCGAUAAGCGUGUUGUGAAAUGUAGGCGCUCAACGUCUGACUUGCAGCGCGAACUGUGGGGCUUGAGUACGCACAACGUUGGCGGAAUUUGCCGUGUAGCGGUGAAAUGCUUAGAUAUGACGAAGAACUCCGAUUGCGUAGGCAGCUGACGGGGGCGCAACUGACGCUCAUGCUCGAAAGUGCGGGUAUCGAACGAGGAUUUGAUACCCUGGUAGUCCGCACGGU